GUAUUUCGUAUUGUUCAGCCAAUUUUGUGUUGCUUUUGAACUUUGAUGCUUUUGACAAUCACUCGUAAGUUCAAAGUAAAAUCAAAGUUGUCAUAAUAAUGGAUAGUUGUUUUCAGUAUGUGUGUACUAGUGUGUAUAUGUACCACUUUCACAUUGAAUUUUUAGGGUGCUUUCACCAUAUGCAACAAUACUUUCAUCUGUGAAUACCCACUUUCUAAGCCCACCAUGAACUAAGAAGGUCAAUUAAUAUGGAAGGACACCAAUGAACAGACACUUUCCAAUUAUCGUACAUCAUAUACAUGGGUAAUCAAACUCACUGGAUGGUUUAUCAACACUCCCAUGCUCACGAACAGCCUUGCCCCAGGAAUUUUGCCCUGAAGUAACAUUGCAGUCUAUUGUCUCCUUUCUUUUUACAACCCUGACAGCCAUGCAGGAUAGAAGCUGAUCACUUGUACUUGACAGCAAAUAAUAAUAUCUUGGACAAGUCAAAGAAUUUCCUCCAGUCUUACAGAGAAAUGACAGUUGAUAAAAGAAUGGUGGACACAAAGUAAAAGUGCUCUUCAACAUUUUGUUGAAGAUUUCAGUCUGAUUUGGAAUUCAUCUUGCAAUAUUUCUGGAUUUGUAUAUUUGGAUAUAAGCGUCAAUUUUUCAACUAAUUGACUAAACAGUUUUGGGUUAAAUAUUGCCAAUGCUAUCUAUUAUUAUUAUUUCCCUCCAAGAUAACGUCAAGUCUUUAUUGUACCAGAAAAAUCUUGUAAUGAAAUCAUUUAGUUUUUUUUCUUGUUAGAUUAAAUUCAUGAAAAUAAAGAUUAUUUCUAAUGGCA